UAUUACUGCUAAUUAAUACAAAUCCAUCUAAUUCUAAUUCAACUAUUAUACUCAUGUUAAUGGACUAACAAAAGCAACGGAAGUGGACAAAAACCUGCGGGCCUUGGAUUCAACAGGCCCAAUCGGAGGGGGUAUGGAUAGUGAAGUGCAGUAUGCAAAUGCACUGAAGAACUGGGCCUAAGGCCCAAUUGACCCAAGGCUGCCUCAACGGGAUGUAUAUCCCUUAUUUCAUCCUCCCGAAUGUUCUAACGAACGUCUAACCAACUCCGCCGCGCCAGCUUACCACCGGCGGCGACGAAACUUCGUGCCAUCCCAAGCUCACCUCUCCACAUAGUCUUGCUGACCUCUCCUAAGCUAACCUAAAUGAGGAAAAAAAAUUCCACCUAGAAAAUCGAUUAGCUUAUUACCGUUGAUGACGAAGGAAGAUCCACCGCUCCGAUAAUCAACGGACACUCCGAUGAACCAAGAUGAUUGAUGCGUCCCUCCGGUUGAUUCCUUGCAACAGGGAAGAGCACACGAUGACGACAGAUCUAGAACACGUGUUCUCGUGUUGACCGGCGACGGAGAUUGCUCCGGUGAACCUGAAUUAACGACGGCGAGCUCCAAAGUUUCCGUGAGUUUACACGAUCUUCUUCCUCUACUAUCAGCUCCCUCUCCCUUUAUUUCCCGUAUAACUUCCUUAUUCGUAUUCCGUCAUGGAUUCUUAUUCAGUUGCUUGGAUCUGCUUCACUCUUCUUUGAAUUAUAUUGUUGUGAUGUGAAGGUUGAGUAACGUGUUAUGGUGCGAUUGGUAGAGUUGUUGUGGAUUGGAAAUGGAGGUUUGAUUGAAGGUUUUGGUUGAAGGUUUGGUCAAGGGAUCGGAAGAGGGAAUCGCGGUGAUGGUUAUGGAAGAAAAGUUGGUUAGAGAUGCGAUGGUGGGAAGAAGACGAUGGUUACCGUUGGUUCGCGUUUUGGAGCUGGUGGCGUAUUUGCCUUUCAUUGCGUUGCCUAGCAGCUUGUCUUUGCGUUUGGUAGCAGCUGCAGUUUCUUGGUUUUUGAUGCACUUCGUAGCAGCCUGAAGUGUCGGCUUGGCUACACUUGUUGGAUUUGGCUUGAUGGUUAUCGCAUUUCAUGGCUUACGGCUUACGUUUCUGCACUGCUUUUGUUGAGGUGAGCUGCGUUUCAUUGAUUUUGGCACUGCAUCUCUCGCGCGGUAGCUAUGGCUUGUAUUGGCUCUUUGGUAGCCGCUUUUUGCCAUGCACUUUGGCUUGCUUCUUUUUCCACAACAUUAUUUCCUUCAUUUUUCUUAAUGCACAUUAAUUAAUGGAUUAAUGAUAAGGGAUGUAAAAGGUGAAUUUUAGAUUCAACUGUAAUUAAUGGAAAAUGGAUAAUUGGACUUGUACAGGUUU